AUUGAACGCUGGCGGCAGGCCUAACACAUGCAAGUCGAGCGAGCGGCGGACGGGUGAGUAAUGUAUGGGGACUGCCCGAUAGAGGGGGAUAACACUUGGAAACAGGUGCUAAUACCGCAUACUAUCGGAUAACCCAUAUGGGAUUAGCUAGUAGGUGGGGUAAAGGCUCACCUAGGCGACGAUCUCUAGCUGGUCUGAGAGGAUGAUCAGCCACACUGUGACUGAGACAAGGCCCAGACGCCUACGGAGGCAGCAGUGGCGAAUAUUGCCAAAUGGGCGCAAGCCUGAUGCAGCCAUGCCGCGUGUAUGAAGAAGGCCUUAGGGUUGUAAAGUACUUUCAGCGGGGAGGCGUUACCCGCAGAAGAAGCACCGGCUAACUCCGUGCCAGCAGACGCGGUAAUUC
rnacentral:rRNA from 1 species